rfam:Picea glauca, whole genome shotgun sequence.
GGUGAAGAUCUUGCUGGUAGUAGAAAAUAUUCAAAUGAGAACUUUGAAUACUGAAGUGGGGAAAGGUUCCAUGUGAAAAACACUUGAACAUGGGUUAGUCGAUCCUAAGAUAUGGGGAAGCCAUGCAUCAAGGGUGCACUAUGCGUGAACAUCAAAAUAGAAUCGGGUUAAUAUUCUUGAACUGGGACAUGGAAGUGGAUGACAACGCUAGGAAAUCCAGAGACGUCGUUGGGGGCCCCGAGAAGAGUUAUAUUUUGUUUUUAAUGACUUGUCCACCCUAAAAUCGGUUCAACCGAAGAUAGGGUCAAGCAGUUGGAAGAGAGCCACACAUAUUGCAAUGUAUGGUACCCCCUCGAAGACCAUUGAAAAUAUGGAGGAUUAGAUACCAUCCAUGCCCGGUCGUACUCAUAACCACAUCGGGUCUCCAAGGUGAACAACCUAUGUUCAAUAGAACAAUGUAGGUAAGGGAAGUCAGAAAAACCGAUCUAUAACUUUGGAAAAAGGAACGGACUUGAGGGUUGGGCCUAGGGGUCUAUUUAUUCAACCCGUGGAAAGUAGACAGUCUUCCCGAGAUUCUCUCAUGGUGAGGGUGGGGUGUCACAUGUCGUUUGGGCUACAAACAUAGAAUGUCCCCUUGCCUGGGAUUUUCCGUAGGUGGAGAAAAUUUGACUCAGAACUGGUACGAAGAAGGGGAAUCUGAUUGUUUAAUUAAAACAAAACAUUUCAAUGGUCCCUAUGGAUGAUGAUGCAAUGUGAUUUCUUCCCAUUGCUCUAAAUUUCAAAGUGAAUAAACUCAAUCAAGUGUGGGUAAAUGACAGGAGUAACUAUGACUCUAUUAAGGUAUCCAAAUUCCGCAUCAUCUAAUUACUGACAUGUGUGAAUGGAUUAAUGAUAUUCACACUAUCCUUAUAUACUAUCUAGUGAAACCAUAUCCAAGGGAACGGGCUUGGAAUAAU